rnacentral:rRNA from 1 species
UACGUAGGGUGCAAGCGUUAAUCGGAAUUACUGGGCGUAAAGCGUGCGCAGGCGGUUUUGUAAGUCUGUCGUGAAAUCCCCGGGCUCAACCUGGGAAUUGCGAUGGAGACUGCAAGGCUAGAAUCUGGCAGAGGGGGGUAGAAUUCCACGUGUGAGCAGUGAAAUGCGUAGAGAUGUGGAGGAACACCGAUGGCGAAGGCAGCCCCUGGGUCAAGAUUGACGCUCAUGCA